rnacentral:tRNA from 1 species
GCCUGGGUGGCUCAGUUGGUUGAGCGUCCGACUUCGGCUCAGGUCAUGAUCUCACAGCUCGUGAGUUCAAACCCCAUGUCGGGCU